UACGUAGGGACCGAGCGUUGUCCGGAAUCAUUGGGCGUAAAGAGCGUGUAGGCGGCCACUUAAGUCCUGCGUGAAAUCUUGCGGCUCAACCGCAAGCGGUCGUGGGAAACUGGGUGGCUAGAGUGCGGGAGAGGAGAGUGGAAUUCCUGGUGUAGCGGUGGAAUGCGCAGAUAUCAGGAAGAACACCAAUGGCGAAGGCAGCUCGCUGGGACGUGACUGACGCUGAGACGCGAAAGCGUGGGGAGCAAACAGG
rnacentral:rRNA from 1 species